rnacentral:rRNA from 1 species
GACGAACCGUGCGAACGUUAUUCGGAAUCACUGGGCUUAAAGGGCGCGUAGGCGGGUUGCCAAGUCGGAGGUGAAAUCCUGCAGCUCAACUGCAGAAGUGCCCCCGAUACUGGCAGUCUCGAGUGAGGUAGGGGCAUGUGGAACUUCCGGUGGAGCGGUGAAAUGCGUAGAUAUCGGAAGGAACGCCGGUGGCGAAAGCGACGUGCUGGACCUCAACUGACGCUGAGGCGCGAAAGCCAGGGGAGCGAACGGG